GCUUUUGUAGCUUAAUUGGUAAAGCUAUUGAUUUGUAAUCAAUUGUUCCGGGUUCAAUUCCUGGCAGAAGUA
rnacentral:tRNA from 1 species